GACGAACGCUGGCGGCGCGCUUAACACAUGCAAGUCGAGCGAAGCGGCGGGCGGGUGAGUAACACGUGAGUAACCUGCAUUAGACAUUGGGAUAGCCUCGGGAAACCGGGAUUAAUACCAAAUGGUCUAAGAUGGACUCGCGUGCCAUUAGCUCGCUGGUGAGGUAACGGCGCACCAAGGCGACGAUGGGUAGCCUGCCUGAGAGGGUGACCGGACACAUUGGAACUGAGAAACGGUCCGAACUCUACGGGAGGCAGCAGUGGGGAAUAUUGUACAAUGGAGUGAACUCUGAUGCAGCGACGCUGGGUGAACGAAGAAGGCUUUCGAGUCGUAAAGUGCUUUUAUAUGGGAAGCGGUACCAUAAGAAAAAGCCCCGGCUAACUACGUGCCAGCAGCCGCGGUAAUAC
rnacentral:rRNA from 1 species